CUACGGGAGGCUGCAGUGGGGAAUCUUGCGCAAUGCGCGAAAGCGUGACGCAGCAACGCCGCGUGGGGGAAGACGGCCUUCGGGUUGUAAACCCCUUUCAGUUGGGACGAAGCUUCGACGGUUAAUAGCCGGCCGGAGUGACGGUACCUUCAGAAGAAGCCCCGGCUAACUACGUGCCAGCAGCCGCGGUAAUACGUAGGGGGCAAGCGUUGUCCGGAAUCAUUGGGCGUAAAGAGCGUGUAGGCGGUUCAGUAAGUCUGCUGUGAAAGUCCAAGGCUCAACCUUGGGAUGCCGGUGGAA
rnacentral:rRNA from 1 species